AAACAGAUUACCAAAUAGUACAUCCAAAAGUAAUACGAUCCUCACACGAUAAAUUUCACUCAAAUCUCAAGUGUUUAGGUUAACUGUUUACACUCAAAGCACAACAUGAAAGUUAGUACUACCAUAAGCUUGAAAAGACUCUAACAUCCACAAUUGAAAUGCAUGCACACAAAGAUCAAAAGGACUUUUAUUUGGUUGUAACGUGGGCAAGGUAAGGGUGAGAUAAAUCCUAAGGGGUACUAGGCUAAAAUUCAAAGAGACAAAAGAGACUU
rnacentral:lncRNA from 1 species